rnacentral:rRNA from 1 species
ACGCCUUAUACAUGCAAGUCGAACGAAGUAGCAAUACUUAGUGGCAGACGGGUGAGUAACAUGUAGGUAUCUUCCCUUUGGUGAGGAAUAACACGAGGAAACUUGUGCUAAUACCUCAUAAGUCUUUACGGAGAAAGCUUUAUGCGCCAAAGGAUGAGCCUGCACUUGAUUAGUUUGUUGGUGGGGUAAUGGCCUACCAAGACUUUGAUCUAUAGCUGAUCUGAGAGGAUGAUCAGCCACAUUGGGACUGAGACACGGCCCAAACUCCUACGGGAGGCAGCAGUAGGGAAUAUUGCACAAUGGAGGAAACUCUGAUGCAGCGAUGCCGCGUGAGUGAAGAAGGCCUUUGGGUUGUAAAGCUCUUUCGUCGGGGAAGAAAAUGACUGUACCCGAAUAAGAAGGUCCGGCUAACUUCGUGCCAGCAGCCGCGGUAAUACGAAGGGACCUAGCGUAGUUCGGAAUUACUGGGCUUAAAGAGUUCGUAGGUGGUUAAAAAAGUUGGUGGUGAAAUCCCAGAGCUUAACUCUGGAACUGCCAUCAAAACUUUUUAGCUAGAGUAUGAUAGAGGAAAGCAGAAUUUCUAGUGUAGAGGUGAAAUUCGUAGAUAUUAGAAAGAAUACCGAUUGCGAAGGCAGCUUUCUGGAUCAUUACUGACGCUGAGGAACGAAAGCAUGGGUAGCGAAGAGGAUUAGAUACCCUCGUAGUCCAUGCCGUAAACGAUGUGUGUUAGACGUUGGAAAUUUAUUUUCAGUGUCGCAGCGAAAGCAUUAAACACACCGC